GACGAACGCUGGCGGCGCGCCUAACACAUGCAAGUCGAACGGAGUUACUCUGAAUGAAGUUUUCGGAUGGAUUUUGGAUUAACUUAGUGGCGAACGGGUGAGUAACGCGUGAGUAACCUGCCCUGGAGUGGGGGACAACAGUUGGAAACGACUGCUAAUACCGCAUAAGCCCACAGUGCCGCACGGCACAGCGGGAAAAGGAUUUAUUCGCUUCAGGAUGGACUCGCGUCCAAUUAGCUAGUUGGUGAGGUAACGGCCCACCAAGGCGACGAUUGGUAGCCGGACUGAGAGGUUGAACGGCCACAUUGGGACUGAGACACGGCCCAGACUCCUACGGGAGGCAGCAGUGGGGAUAUUGCACAAUGGGGGAAACCCUGAUGCAGCGACGCCGCGUGGAGGAAGAAGGUUUUCGGAUCGUAAGCUCUGUUGUUGGUGAAGAAGGAUAGAGGUAGUAAC
rnacentral:rRNA from 1 species